rnacentral:rRNA from 1 species
UGGCGGACGGGUGAGUAACGCGUGGAAAACCUGCCGUAUACUGGGGGAUAACACUUAGAAAUAGGUGCUAAUACCGCAUAAGCGCACAGCUUCGCAUGAAGCGGUGUGAAAAACUCUGGUGGUAUACGAUGGUUCCGCGUCUGAUUAGCUAGUUGGUGGGGUAAUGGCCUACCAAGGCAACGAUCAGUAGCCGGCCUGAGAGGUGAACGGCCACAUUGGGACUGAGACACGGCCCAAACUCCUACGGAAGGCAGCAG